UGAAAAAUGGGCGUUCUGGGGGAAUGGCAGGGACGGGAUGGGGCCACAGGAAACUUACCUGCUAGUCCAACUGCCGUUCAGUUCCGAAAACACAGGGAGCAGAGAUGCAGCCAUAGAUAGGGCUUGCAUAAAGAUACAUCAGAACAGGAAGAGACAUCAUCUAAGCAAGACAGCAAGAAGACAUUCUAGCCAGGAAAAAACAUUUGGAGUGCAAAACAGGGUUAUUGAGACGCUUGGCCUGGGAACAGUUCUGAGAGCCAGCUAGAGAAGCCUGGAUGGCUGCAUUUGGCCCCUGGGCCUGAGGAUGCCCACCCCAACAUCCCAGGGAAAACACAGUUAUGUGAACUUGCCUUGAGUAAGGCUCUUAGGAAAUGUAGGAU